AGGUGACGCCGCUCAUAACGGUCUGGUUGCAGGUUCGAGUCCUGCCGGGCCCACCA
rnacentral:tRNA from 2 species